CCCAAUUGAAGCCUCAAUCACCGAUAUCAUCAGAAACGAAGAUACUGAACGCAUAUGUCAUUGUCUUCAUUAAAGAGCCAUAGAUACUGAACAUUUUACAAAGACAGCAACACAUCCAGGCAUCAUCACCUAGUAUCUCUGAGCACCGUGGGAAUCACACAAUCACCAGUCAAGUCACAAAGACAAAUCCCA